rnacentral:rRNA from 1 species
CCUACGGGUGGCAGCAGUGAGGAAUAUUGGUCAAUGGGCGUGAGCCUGAACCAGCCAAGUCGCGUGAAGGAUGACUGCCCUACGGGUUGUAAACUUCUUUUAUAAAGGAAUAAAGGGAUGCACGUGUGCAUUUUUGCAUGUACUCUAUGAAUAAGCAUCGGCUAACUCCGUGCCAGCAGCCGCGGUAAUACGGAGGAUUCGAGCGUUAUCCGGAUUUAUUGGGUUUAAAGGGAGCGUAGAUGGGUUUUUAAGUCAGUUGUGAAAGUUUGCGGCUCAACCGUAAAAUUGCAAUUGAUACUGGCAGCCUUGAGUACAGUUGAGGUAGGCGGAAUUCGUGGUGUAGCGGUGAAAUGCUUAGAUAUCACGAAGAACUCCGAUUGCGAAGGCAGCUUACUAAACUGCCACUGACAUUGAUGCUCGAAAGUGUGGGUAUCAAACAGGAUUAGAUACCCGUGUAGUC